CGUCUGCGCUUCAUUCGGGUGACAGCGGUGUCAGGAGGCAGAGGCAUGGCUGGCUAAUCGAGCCAGUAGAGAGUUAUUAUAACAUAUUUUGGAUUGGAACGCAGGAAGAGUAUCAAGAAGAAGCAGUUGGAACAGAGAAACUCUGUCAUAGGUAGCAGUGUCAGCAGCAAGUAUUGCCGGCGAUGAGCAAAGACUGGCAGGAGGCAGGCACGUGCAGAGGAGCGGAGAGGGAUGGUUGCUGGUGUCGGCUGUCACAACGUACCAACGAGCAGUGGGUGUUCCGCGCUCGCCUCCAGCUGCCACCUCGGUAGUACUCGUACAUACUUGCUGAUUGGGAGCUUCAGUGCUGCAGAGAAGAACAGGCAAACAUGACCAUGGGACUGUGUUGGAGAUGGAAGCACUUCAGCAGUAGCAGCCUGACUUGAAGGUUAGCACAUCAUCCACUCGGCUGGUCCGUGUAUUCAAGACGAACGUCCAGCAGCACUGAAGUAUAGGAAGAUUUACACCUGCCCUGCUAUUCUCUACAGGUCAUCAUGUCUGCUAAGAGGAGUGACGUGGUUCUCGAAGUGUCUCGUGUCUUCAAUCGUGAGUGGAAGGAAGAAGUCCUUUAUCGCAUUUUUGGAAAGGUUCAUCUGCCUCACGAAGUCCGAAGGGGUCUUUUCAAAGAGAUCAACAUGUGCUGCCCAAAUGGAAGACAGGGUAUCAAAUGUCGACGAAUCGUCUGUUGUCAAGAGGCGCUUCACCAGAUCUAGUGACAAGUUUGAGGACAUAGGAAAGAUCAAGAGAGAGGAGCAAGUGUGAAGGCUACAACCUAGAGGAAAAAAAAAUCUCUCUCUCUCUCUCUCUCUCUCUCUCUC